UCUGGCUCUUGGUGGCCCCAAGCCAAGCCUGAGGUGACUUCAGGGUGACACCGUCUGUCUGCCUCUCUCUUUCUCCAGACAUCCGCCCAGCCCUGAAAGGGCCACCUGCCUGCCUAGGUCUUCAGCGCACCUGUCCUGGCCAGCCUGGCUCCUCCUCCAGGCACCCUGCCCGUGGGCAGACACUGCCGGACUGGGGCAAAGCUGAGAGCCGGCAGCUGGCAGAUGGCAGGGCGUCAGCUGACUGCUCACUCCCUGGUGACCUGUUCAGGAUCGCCAUUCAUGUGCACUGCCCGCCCGCCCUCCCCCAGCCUCGCCUCACUGGGUCCCUCUGGUUUGUUUCAGGACCCCUUCCCUGUUACCCCUUGAGAAAGGAGGCAUUUUAUGUGGGUCCCAGCGCCCCCAGGGCUGAGGCCAGUGGUCAAGGCCUAGCUGUUGUACAGGUAAGCCUGGCACAGCCAGACACCCCGCAAGUAUGGAACUGGGCCUUUUCCUCACUCACUCACAAAUGGCUCUGGAGUCCAGACCAAGAAAGGGUGGCCCUUCCUGAAGUCUUGUGGAACCAGUGUAAGCCCCCGGUGUAGGGCAGAGCUGCCUAAGAACUGAGGAGACCAUGGUAGUAGCCAUGCCUGCCGCCAGAGCAUGGAGAGACACCUGAGAGAAAUGGACCCAAGACGGGCACCUGUGGGUCAGCCUCACUAGACUCGAACCCUGGGCAGAGUGAGGCCCCCUGGAGAGCAGGAGCCUUGUGGAAAGAAACAGGAAGAACAGGUCAGCGGUUCCUGGCAGAGGGACAGACCAGGGCAAAAGGCAGGAGGUGGGGAGGGCCUGGGAGAUGGCCAAGGAGGGCAGAGGAGGCUUGCCCAGGGCAUUUUGCUGCUUUGUGGGUUGGGGGAGGGGCCGAUGGGCACAGUGGGAAGGAUCAGAGAAAGAGUGUCUGUGUGAUGGAUAGCUUGGCUGUCUGAGGGUGCGGGCAAGGCUGGUGGUAGUCAGGGAGAGGGCUUUCCCACCCCUGUGUCCUCACCAGACCCUCAAUAACCAAUGGCCUCAUCUUCCUUUCCUUGAGCUGUGAGGGAAUAACAAGGCUUCUAACAAACCACCCUGGCUUGAUGGACAGAACCGGGCAGAUCCCAAGCAGGGCUCGUCUCUGUUUUCCGCACCCUAGGCUCGGCUCCAGAGCCCUGCGGCCGGCCAGGCCGCUUCUCACUGCCACCAUGUCCCUGCUUGGCCUUCCAUCUUUCUGCUGGCUCUGCUGUGAUGCCUUGGCCAGAGUGGGUCCAAAGGAGGCAGGUCAGGAGGUGGUGGUACCAAGCAGGAGCUUCUGUGUGCAGCUGACUCCCCUGUGGUGAGUGGGACCCCGCUGUCCUUCCUUGGAAAAUAGGGGGCCAUGGGAGACCUCAGAGUGAGAAAGGAUAGGGUCAGAAUCACAUCACUGACGUUGCUCCAGCACCUCAGCUUAGAUGUCUUUGCCUGGAGGCCUGUACUCCCCCACACACACGCACCCCAGGACUGUGCCUCCCACCAGCAGACUGCCCCCAGAUGAUUCAUCUCAUCUACCCAUAAUGCACUGCGAUAUGAUGCUCUUUGACCCCCUCUCAGCCGACCCAGGCUGGACAUGGUUUAACAGAGCUCCAGUUCCAUUCAUUACUGCCUCUGAGUGGAAGAGGAGCAGCCUCCCUACCCUGAAGAGACACUGUCCGGAGGCUCACACCCUUCAGGUCACCCAGCCUUGAGAGCUCUCUGGGGACUUCAAAGGCAGCUCUUUUCUCUCUGUCCCCCACCGCCAUCACGCAGCCCUCCAGUGUGGUGCUAAUACCCGCCCCCCCCCAUACCACCCAGCGUUGAUGGAGGACGUACCAGAAGUGCCGUGCCUGGAGUAAGAAGAAAGGCCAGAUGAGGGGAACAGGAUCACUUCUGUCCCCAGGUUGGGCUAAGGCACAGGGGGUGCCUGAGUCAUGGCCAAGGAGGGACCAGGAUGCUUGCCUCCCAUUAUGUCUCUCCCACAGCUUCGGCUCUGCAUGGCUUGGGUCGCAGUGAAGCCCAAAACCUCGGGGAGGGUAGGCAGGGACAGGUGCAGGACAGGCCCUUUGGGGGCCGUCACAAUGGCACACCAGCCCCCUGCUGAUUCCUAACUCGAGUGGCCAAGGAGCUGCUGAGAAUCCCCAAGGGCCAGCUAAAGGGACCCCACAGAAAUGCAGGGUGUGCGUAGGAUCGCCCAGGGAAAAGAGACAGCCAAGACCUUCCAGGGAGUCCUGCUCACCAUACUGUGUCCUGCCCGCUAGGGGCAGAACCCCAAGUGUUGAGAGGCCCCUGUCAAGGUGUGCCUUCUUCAAGGUGCUUCUGAGGGGCUCAGAUGGGGAUGGCCAAAGUGGCCUUUAGUCAUUCUCCCACAGCCAGGUGCAUCCUGGGAACUGACAAGGUUAACUGUGGCCAGGCAGUGACACUCCUCUACCUUCCCACCUGGUCCGUUCAUCAUAGACAGAACAUGAGGCGGGUGCCUGAACCACACUCUCUUCCCAUAGGCCUUCCUGCCUUGCUGGCUCUGCUUGGACCAUCCUUGGGGAUAUUCGACCUGUCUGUUAGUGAAGGGGUCCAGGCUUGAGGCAGGGGAUGGCACACCAGUGGCUCACAUAGAUGUCCUCUGGGACUGAACAGUGCCUGCCCACCGAGGGCCGGGCCACACUAGCACUCGGGGGGCCUUGUUCCCAAGCCACUCUGCCUCAUAGACUCCAGGUCUGGGUACACAGUGUGGACUUCAACCUCAUGGCUCCAUUUUGACCCAGGGUCCUCGGACUUGCUCCUGUGACCCUUGGCAGGGAGGGAGGGAGGUGUGGCAUCACACAGAGAGCAAAAGCUGCCAGGCUUCCUGGGACCGGGUAGAGAGCUUCCCUCUGCAUUGCCGGGCAGACCUGUCUGAGGCCUGUAAGCAGCAGCCAUUUUCCCUCUGAAGGCAGAGCCACCUGGGACUAGAAGCUCGGCCUUCUGAGCCUCAGUAUCUUCACAGUGACCCCACCUCACAGCUGGAGGGUUAGAUGACUGCCCAGCCGGGUGCCUGCCUAGAAAAACUGUGGAAGGAGGGCCUGUAAUGGAGUCUCCAAGUCUAUGUUGGAACCAGAGAGCAGAGAGCUCCAGGACCAUCUUACAAGGUGGGAAGAAUGCUCCAACGCACCGUUACUGCUCCGCUGGAGAGGCUAGAAGCCUUGGUUAUAAAUAAGAUAGGCUUAAAUACGCUGGCCCAAGGUUUCCCCGGCAAGCUAGUGGCUGUGGGCAGUGUGGACAGGCUGACUGUUGCCCCAGAGUGGAUCUUACCUGUCCCACUACACAGUGAGCAGUAUGGGCCACACCAGGCUGCCUGGCCUGACCAGGGCGUCCUCCCUGCUGGGCUCUGUCCAAGGCUCUGGGAGCCCCAAGCUCAGAGGCCAAGCCCAGAGCCCCUGCGGGCUUCAGGAAGUGCUAGUCGCCAAGGACAGACUGGCCAUCAGUGUCCAGCCAGGGUCUGCACUUCCGCCCAGCUGGCCGCCAUGGGGAGCUAGGCUGCCUCCCACAAGGAAAAAAAAAUGGUUUUGAGCCUUCUGCAGCAAGGUCACUUGAGGCCACCCUGAGCGGGGAGGCAGGGACAGACCCAGAGCCCUCAAGGAGGGGCUCUUCCUGUGUAAGAGGAGGAGGGUACAUGCCCAAGGCCUCUUCAUGGCCGGAGUUCUGGUGCCUUCAGCUCUGUGGGUGCUACAGCUGAGUGUACAGAGCCUGGGUCUCAGCCAGGUGGGCACUGGAAGCCCCCUGGACCUGGCUGGCCUUUGACAAGUGACCAUCCUUCCCCCAUGGUGGCCAUUCCUGCCUAGUGACUGACUGGUCAGCUUUUCCUCUCUCCUUCCCCACCCCACCCCCACCCCCUCACUUCCUUCAUUCUCUCUGCUUGGUGAUUUUAAGUGUCCUGGCCCACUUUGGGGGGAAUCCCAGUCUGCCGCUGGGCUGAUACCCUCAGCACCGAGCUGGCCAUGUUGGGCCCCUCACCAUAUUCCCAGCUCUCCUUCUUCCUCCAGGAGGUAUCUCGAGACGCCGGUAACAUCCAGCUCUGCACUGACCAAGACUGACCGACGGCCUUUGGGGUGAGGUAGUAGGUUGUAUGGUUUUGGGCUCUGCCCCGCUCAGCGGUAACUAUACAAUCUACUGUCUUUCCUGAAGUGGCCGCAAUAUCUGCAGUGGAUCCGCCAGCCCUGCCUUGGGAGGCUGAGGGAGGCACAGGGGUGGUAGCUGCCGUGCACAAAGCAAGUCCAACAGGGGGGACCUUGGACAGUCCCUUGACCUCUGGUCUGUUACUCAUCUGCAAGCGUUGGGGCAUCGGGGUGAAAGCAGACAUGUAGCGUUUCCAGGCACCUCCUCUCCCUUGACCACACAGAAGGGCUUUCCUUCCCCUGACCUCGUCACAUUAGGCCUGGGCUCACAGCCCUCCCCGAGGAAAGGGUCUGGGCUGGACCUUCACCUCUGUUCCAGAGUUGCUACACACUCCACACGUGGCAUAUGCCCAGGCUUUCCAGCUCAGGGUCAGGUCUCCGAGACAUAGAGACGGGGCAUCUUUUCCAUGAAGGAAAUGAGAGGGGGGUUCUCAGCAUGGCUGGGUACCCCGUGAGCACAACCACGCAACUGGACUGGGUAGGCCACUGUCCCCCGGGGUGAUGGGUUCAGACACUGGAGGCUUCCCUCACCCGUCUGGUGGGUACAGGUCUCUCUGAACCACUUUCUUCACUCCCCCCCUCCUGCCCUGUGCCAGCUGUGCCCUAGGGCUCUGGUGGCCUGUGGCCAGGGUGGGUGGGGAGGGGCUGGGCCUCCUCCAGAACAUGGACCCCGCAGGGUGAGGUAGUAGGUUGUGUGGUUUCAGGGCAGUGAUGUUGCCCCUUAGAAGAUAACUAUACAACCUACUGCCUUCCUUGAGGAGCCCAGGAACACAGCUGUACGGAGGCCCCCGCCCAGCGAGCCACGUGGAGAGCCUGUGCCACAGAUGGGGUGGGGGCGGCAGUGUGGGGGCUGGGUCAAAAUAAAGGCUGCGGUGACAUGAAUUUA